UACGAAGGGGGCUAGCGUUGUUCGGAUUUACUGGGCGUAAAGCGCACGUAGGCGGAUCGUUAAGUCGGGGGCGAAAUCCUGGAGCUCAACUCCAGAACUGCCUUCGAUACUGGCGAUCUUGAGUCCGGAAGAGGUGAGUGGAACUCCUAGUGUAGAGGUGGAAUUCGUAGAUAUUAGGAAGAACACCAGUGGCGAAGGCGGCUCACUGGUCCGGUACUGACGCUGAGGUGCGAAAGCCAGGGGAGCAAACGGG
rnacentral:rRNA from 1 species